rnacentral:rRNA from 1 species
GAUGAACGCUAGCGGCAGGCUUAACACAUGCAAGUCGAGGGGUAUAGUUCUUCGGAACUAGAGACCGGCGCACGGGUGCGUAACGCGUAUGCAAUCUACCUUUCACAGAGGGAUAGCCCAGAGAAAUUUGGAUUAAUACCUCAUAGUAUAAUGAGUUGGCAUCAACACAUUAUUAAAGUCACAACGGUGAAAGAUGAGCAUGCGUCCCAUUAGCUAGAUGGUAAGGUAACGGCUUACCAUGGCUACGAUGGGUAGGGGUCCUGAGAGGGAGAUCCCCCACACUGGUACUGAGACACGGACCAGACUCCUACGGGAGGCAGCAGUGAGGAAUAUUGGACAAUGGGCGCAAGCCUGAUCCAGCCAUGCCGCGUGCAGGAUGACGGUCCUAUGGAUUGUAAACUGCUUUUGUACAGGAAGAAACACUGGUUCGUGAACCAGCU